rnacentral:rRNA from 1 species
CAGUAGCCGCGGGAAUACGGAGGGUGCAAGCGUUAUCCGGAUUUAUUGGGUUUAAAGGGUCCGUAGGCGGAUCUGUAAGUCAGUGGUGAAAUCUCACAGCUUAACUGUGAAACUGCCAUUGAUACUGCAGGUCUUGAGUAAAUUUGAAGUGGCUGGAAUAAGUAGUGUAGCGGUGAAAUGCAUAGAUAUUACUUAGAACACCAAUUGCGAAGGCAGGUCACUAAGAUUUAACUGACGCUGAUGGACGAAAGCGUGGGGAGCGAACAGGAUUAGAUACCCCAGUAGUCCCUGUCUCUUAUAA